rnacentral:rRNA from 1 species
GGAUUGUAGUCUGCAACCCGGCUACAUGAAGCUGGAAUCGCUAGUAAUCGCGGAUCAGAAUGCCGCGGUGAAUACGUUCCCGGGUCUUGUACACACCGCCCGUCACACCAUGGGAGUCGGAAAUGCCUGAAGUCUGUGACCCAACCUCAGGGAGGGAGCAGCCGAAGGCAGGUCGGAUGACUGGGGUGAAGUCGUAACAAGGUAAC